AUACAACAAAAAUUAAUUCUUCAACAGUCCAUAGUUAAGCACCGCACUUUGAAGUUGGAAUGAAAAGGAUAAAAAUUAAAUACGCCGGCAAAUAAUAGCAAUGCGUGGCGUCGUCUAGCAAUAUUUAGAAAAACAAAAAAAAAGAGUAUUUACACAUCUCAUAGUCAUCGUUAUCGUUUCGCUGUCGGAAAUAUUUGCUUGUUAGCUGAAAGCAUGAGCGACCCCCAAAUCCCCGAAUCCAACCGCAAUCCGAAGCCCUCGCCUAAAAUCCCCAGCAACGGCGGCGGCUCAAACUAUCCCAAUCCCCGGGAGACGGUGAAUCCGGACGUCGCCACGCUCAGAGAUCAAUGGCGCUUCGCUGUAAAACAGUACAGCAAGUGGUACUCUCAGGCCUGGGGAUCCGCUAUUCUCGCCGGCGUCUCGUUUUUCGCCCUCGGUUGGAUCAUCAAGGGCUCCAAUCCACUCCCUUCCUUUCAGUCUGAUACCACUGCCUCUUCCCCACCCGAUAAAGAUAAAUCUGCGCACCAACCUCGCUGAUUGUAAUAGGUGAUUUAUAUCACUGUUUCCAGCUUACAAAACAAAGGCACCGGGGGCGCAUAUGAUCCAUGUUCUUGUUCUACCUUGGGAGAAAGAAACUAGGUCUUUUGAUGAUGCUGAUAACUUACAACUCUCAAAUAAGAUACUUCCUUUACCAUAGAUAGAAUGUGAACUUUGCCACCUUUUUCUGUUUAUAUCUGUAAUUAAAGGAAAAGUUUAAGUUUGAUCCAGAGUGGCAUUUUUGCUGUUUAUCACUUGCCUGCUGAAACUUGUUCGUACAGUCACUGAAGUUUUAUGCCUUUCGCCCCACAGUUCACACAGGCUCCCUUGUCUUUUCUGUAACAAAAAUCCCAUUGCAAGAUUGUAUGGAUCUAUGUAAUACACACCCCAAAUGAAUCGGGAGCAUACAAGAUUAUUCCCUUCCACUUUUAGUAGAAUGGAAGGAGAAGUGUUAGUUGCUUUUGAGUGGCAACCCCGGUAAAACGCAGUUGUCCGACGUUGUGACCUUCUCUUCUCUGAGCUUGAGAACACAGAUAAUGCACGAUCAAAGAUAACAGCUUAUAUGUAAAUUGUUGAACUCAGGGGCUGGUUAAUUCUGCGAGACUAUAAAUUUGUAUACAUAUAACACCAUUGGAUGCAGGGUCAAAGCUUGCAGAGGACAAGCCACCACCUAACUAUGCUACAGGUUUCUUUCUUGAUCUGUAGUCAAGACAAUGAAGUCGCUUGUGCAGCGAGCAGCAUCACUAAUUCUACUCGAAAUUGUCAUCGAUGAAAAUGUGGUUGUCUCCGUGUCAGCCGGAGCAGCAUCCAGAUUUCUUGAUGGCGGAAACAUCAUCUCUGUCUCUGCUGAUGUUGAUUGUCUGGCCCUUGGGCAGAGCAGCAGGGUCAUCGGCUGUGUCGAGAGCCUUCUUGCUGACGACGUGGUAUAUCUGUGUGAGUGCUUGGGUGAAGGCUUGGUCAACAUUCAAGGCUUCCUGAGCGGAUGUUUCCAUGAAAAACAAGCCCUCCUUCUCUGCAAAAUCGCUGGCUUCCUGAGUGGGAACGGCCACCAGGUGUCGGAGAUCUGCCUUGUUCCCCACCAGCAUGAUCACGAUGUUGCUGUCCGUGUGCUCUCGGAGCUCCUUCAACCAUCUUCUCACACUCUCGUACGUCGAUUGCCGUGUCACGUCGUACACCAGCAACGCCCCCACCGCGCCUCGAUAGUAAGCACUCGUGAUGGCACGGUACCUUCAACAUUUGUUAUUCAUGAUAUGUAUCUUGCUUAUGAAGUGAAAAAAUUGAUUUUGUGAUGAAUGCAAAUAACGCAGCAUACCUUUCUUGGCCAGCGGUGUCCCAAAUCUGGGCCUUGACAACCUUGGCAUCAACUCGGAUGGAACGGGUGGCGAACUCAACGCCGAUGGUAGAUUUGGAAUCCUUGCUGAACUCAUCGCGGGUGAAGCGAGACAGGAGGUUAGAUUUUCCGACGCCGGAAUCCCCGAUGAGCACCAGCUUGAACAGAGUUUUCCAAGAUGUUUUCUCUUCUUUUCUUGGAGGAAUCAAUUUCAGAUUGCCUUGUUUAUUUCCUUAGACCUCCGCGGAUGUAGGGAGGCUCUUUUUUAAUGGUUUCUAGUAUUACAAAUAUAAAUUAGAGUAAUGCUAUUCAUACAUAUUAUGUAACCUAUAUACACAUAAUAGGAUAUUCUAAUUAAUUGAAAUAGUAUUUUACAUGUAUUACAUUAAUCGAUUUUUGAAUUAGAUUAGUCAAA